CGUUUGCUCUGUGGGAAGCCAGCUUGCAUGUUGUGAGGACUCUCACACACCCCUAUACCAAGGUCUACGUGGUCAACAAUUGAGGCUUCCCGACAACAGCCAGCACCACCUUGCCAGGCCUGUGAAUGAAUGAUUGACUUACAAGUGGAUCUGCUAGUCCCAGUCAAGCCUUCAGGUAACUGUAGUUCCAGCCAACAUCUAGACUGCCACCUCAUGAGAGAACCUGAACUAGCCAGAUUGUCUUGUGUCUAUCCUGCUUCCAAUAGAAGUCCCCUGUUAGAGCUAUUUGGCACUGUGUCAGAGACUGUCAGGCUCUGGGGUUGCAAACAUGGCUGAGAAAAACAUUUACAAAUCUUUUAUCAAUGAGGAAAGCUACAUGGUUACCUUUGGAUUACCUUUGUCCAAAAUGUUCAGCUUUUCACUUCAGGUAGGUGAAUUUAUGGACUGAAAACAAAAACAGUAACUUUGGGUACUUAUCCUGAGUCUCUGAUUAUGUGUGUGAGUAUGUGUCCAUGCAUAAAGAGAUACAUAGCUUACUGAUUAGGGUGUUUUAAUGUGAUAAGGAAAAAUCUGUCCUUCAAGAUCAUAUACUUCUUCUCUCUUUUGUAAUUUUCACAUAGUUCACCUCAUUUAUGUAAACUCAACAAAUCCUUGCUGAUUUAUUAUCUUUUUGAUUUACUAACUUCGAGCUUUCUCAAAAUCUCUGGUCCUGAAAAUAAUGAUUUGUAUUUUAGUAUUUUAAAUUCUGAAAUAUUCCCAUAUGAUUUCAAAUAACCCUCUAUCAGCCUUCACCUUACCUUCUUCACUUGUUGUCUAGGUGCUUAAUCAAAGCAGGUAUCAGGGUAGAAUAGGGAUGGGUUAAGGUAAGCUGGGUAAUUUGUAAAAUUUUAAACCCUUUGCUGUAGAAAAAAAACCAUUUUGAUCUUGAAUAAUGGAGACUGGAUUUCUAUGAGGACAAUUAGACUGAGUAGCAACAUAUAUUUUUAAUUAAUGUUCUCCAUCAAUAAACUUUUCCUUUACAGAAUACA
rnacentral:lncRNA from 13 species